rnacentral:rRNA from 1 species
AACGAUGUCGAUUUGGAGGUGUUCCUUGAGGAGUGGCUCGGAGCUAACGCGUUAAAUCGACCGCUUGGGGAGUACGGCCGCAAGGUUAAAACUCAAAUGAAUUGACGGGGGCCCGCACAAGCGGUGGAGCAUGUGGUUUAAUUCGAUGCAACGCGAAGAACCUUACCUACUCUUGACAUCCAGAGAAUUUAGCAGAGAUGCUUUAGUGCCUUCGGGAACUCUGAGACAGGUGCUGCAUGGCUGUCGUCAGCUCGUGUUGUGAAAUGUUGGGUUAAGUCCCGCAACGAGCGCAACCCUUAUCCUUUGUUGCCAGCACGUUAUGGUGGGAACUCAAAGGAGACUGCCGGUGAUAAACCGGAGGAAGGUGGGGAUGACGUCAAGUCAUCAUGGCCCUUACGAGUAGGGCUACACACGUGCUACAAUGGCGUAUACAAAGAGAAGCGACCUCGCGAGAGCAAGCGGAACUCAUAAAGUACGUCGUAGUCCGGAUUGGAGUCUGCAACUCGACUCCAUGAAGUCGGAAUCGCUAGUAAUCGUAGAUCAGAAUGCUACGGUGAAUACGUUCCCGGGCCUUGUACACACCGCCCGUCACACCAUGGGAGUGGGUUGCAAAAGAAGUAGGUAGCUUAACCUUCGGGAGGGCGCUUACCACUUUGUGAUUCAUGACUGGGGUGAAGUCGUAACAAGGUAACCA